UCUCUGUACCUUAUCUCUGAAUGGAAAAUAUAACGUUCUGUCUCAUAAAAUCAUUUGCAUGAUUUUGCAUGAAUUGCUGUUUGUUCAAAAACACUAUCAAAAGUCAUGUUUAUUAUUGUUUAUUCUCUUUUCCAUUGCAACCAGAGCUGGCUGCCUUCCUAAUGAGCCGGAAAUGACUUCUUUGGAACAGGAAUUUGAAAAGAAGAAAGAAGAGAACUUAUAAGGCUGCAGAAAACUGGAAACAGACUCAAUAUGUCGAAGAGAAAGUUUACUGUAUGAUUUUUUAGUGAUUGGUGGAUUUAUAGUCCAAGCCACUUAAUGUGCAUUAUUUUAUUUAUUUUUUUAGUGUCAUUAAAAAAUAAUGGAUUGCGUUAAGGAAAUCUCUUGAAUCUAAAUCAACAUCAAGCUGAAAUGUGCAAAUUGAACUCUGUCCUAGAUAUUAGUAUAUAUUAUUAAGCCAAAAUAUUAUGUUAAUUCUGCAUGUUUGUUUAAAAAUAACAAUUGUAGUAAUAUAGUAAAAUAAUAGACGAGGUUGAAGAAAAAAGUUCAAGAUAAACCUUCUCAGAUCCCAUGUGAGUUUUGCCUUUAUAAUGAAGCAUAUGUCCAAUAUGACUAAUAAUUGCACUAGGUAUUAUAAGCUCAGAUACUAUAUUUUUCCUUUUACAGUGCAUAAAGGUGUGUAGUAAUACCUUCCUCCCUAAAAUUCUUAAACAAUGCUCACGACUUGACUGUGAAGUAUUGUUUUCUUUGUUAAAGAUGAAAUCUCCUUUCCUCUAGCAUUAAGGGAUGACCUCUUGUCACAUACAAUUGUUUGUAUGAAAAGAGCUUCUAACAAAUACCCAUACGUACCUCAUAUAUAUUUAUACAGUCAAGUGUAUUUACUUAAAGUUCACGUAAAGUUUUUAAACCUUGAUGUAUGUUGCAUAUAAGUCAUAGCUAAUCACAGACUUGUAAAUUAUUAUUCAGAAUUCCUUUAAGUGGAGACUUAAACAUUUGACAUAUUAAAAGUAUAUGGCAAAUAAACCAAGCUAUACAAACUUUCCUUUCACAAAUGUUACAACAUGUUGUAUGCUUACAAGGGUAUGAUAUAUGAUAUUAAAUCUUCUGUAAAGUGUUUGAUUAAGCAUAGUAAAUAAUACAUAUUG